UACGUAGGGUGCAAGCGUUGUCCGGAAUUAUUGGGCGUAAAGGGCUCGUAGGCGGUCCAUCAAGUCGGGAGUGAAAAGCUGGGGCUUAACCCCAGUCCUGCUUCCGAUACGGGUGGACUAGAGGUAGGCAGGGGAGAACGGAAUUCCUGGUGUAGCGGUGAAAUGCGCAGAUAUCAGGAGGAACACCGGUGGCGAAGGCGGUUCUCUGGGAAUGUUCUGACGCUGAGGAGCGAAAGCGUGGGGAGCGAACAGG
rnacentral:rRNA from 1 species